UACGUAGGGUGCGAGCGUUUAAUCGGAAUUACUGGGCGUAAAGCGUGCGCAGGCGGUUUUGUAAGCCAGAUGUGAAAUCCCCGGGCUCAACCUGGGAAUUGCAUUUGUGACUGCACGGCUAGAGUGUGUCAGAGGGGGGUAGGAAUUCCACGUGUAGCAGUGAAAUGCGUAGAGAUGUGGAGGAAUACCGAUGGCGAAGGCAGCCCCCCUGGGAUAACACUGACGCUCAUGCACGAAAGCGUGGGGGAGCAAACAGG
rnacentral:rRNA from 1 species